UGGCGAACGGGUGAGUAAUACGUGAGUAACCUGCCCUUGACUCUGGGAUAAGCCUGGGAAACUGGGUCUAAUACUGGAUACUACCUCUUACCGCAUGGUGGGUGGUGGAAAGGGUUUUACUGGUUUUGGAUGGGCUCACGGCCUAUCAGCUUGUUGGUGGGGUAAUGGCUCACCAAGGCGACGACGGGUAGCCGGCCUGAGAGGGUGACCGGCCACACUGGGACUGAGACACGGCCCAGACUCCUACGGGAGGCAGCAGUGGGGAAUAUUGCACAAUGGGCGGAAGCCUGAUGCAGCGACGCCGCGUGAGGGAUGACGGCCUUCGGGUUGUAAACCUCUUUCAGUAGGGAAGAAGCGAGAGUGACGGUACCUGCAGAAGAAGCGCCGGCUAACUACGUGCCAGCAGCCGCGGUAAUACGUAGGGCGCAAGCGUUGUCCGGAAUUAUUGGGCGUAAAGAGCUCGUAGGCGGUUUGUCGCGUCUGCUGUGAAAGCCCGGGGCUCAACCCCGGGUCUGCAGUGGGUACGGGCAGACUAGAGUGCAGUAGGGGAGACUGGAAUUCCUGGUGUAGCGGUGAAAUGCGCAGAUAUCAGGAGGAACACCGAUGGCGAAGGCAGGUCUCUGGGCUGUUACUGACGCUGAGGAGCGAAAGCAUGGGGAGCGAACAGGAUUAGAUACCCUGGUAGUCCAUGCCGUAAACGUUGGGCACUAGGUGUGGGGGACAUUCCACGUUUUCCGCGCCGUAGCUAACGCAUUAAGUGCCCCGCCUGGGGAGUACGGCCGCAAGGCUAAAACUCAAAGGAAUUGACGGGGGCCCGCACAAGCGGCGGAGCAUGCGGAUUAAUUCGAUGCAACGCGAAGAACCUUACCAAGGCUUGACAUUCACCGGACCGCCCCAGAGAUGGGGUUUCCCUUCGGGGCUGGUGGACAGGUGGUGCAUGGUUGUCGUCAGCUCGUGUCGUGAGAUGUUGGGUUAAGUCCCGCAACGAGCGCAACCCUCGUUCUAUGUUGCCAGCACGUGAUGGUGGGGACUCAUAGGAGACUGCCGGGGUCAACUCGGAGGAAGGUGGGGAUGACGUCAAAUCAUCAUGCCCCUUAUGUCUUGGGCUUCACGCAUGCUACAAUGGCCGGUACAAAGGGUUGCGAUACUGUGAGGUGGAGCUAAUCCCAAAAAGCCGGUCUCAGUUCGGAUUGAGGUCUGCAACUCGACCUCAUGAAGUCGGAGUCGCUAGUAAUCGCAGAUCAGCAACGCUGCGGUGAAUACGUUCCCGGGCCUUGUACACACCGCCCGUCAAGUCACGAAAGUUGGUAACACCCGAAGCCGGUGGCCUAACCCCUUGUGGGAGGGAGC
rnacentral:rRNA from 1 species